rnacentral:rRNA from 1 species
GAUGAACGCUGGCGGCGUGCCUAAUACAUGCAAGUCGAGCGAAUGGAUUAAGAGCUUGCUCUUAUGAAGUUAGCGGCGGACGGGUGAGUAACACGUGGGUAACCUGCCCAUAAGACUGGGAUAACUCCGGGAAACCGGGGCUAAUACCGGAUAACAUUUUGAACCGCAUGGUUCGAAAUUGAAAGGCGGCUUCGGCUGUCACUUAUGGAUGGACCCGCGUCGCAUUAGCUAGUUGGUGAGGUAACGGCUCACCAAGGCAACGAUGCGUAGCCGACCUGAGAGGGUGAUCGGCCGCACGGGUACUGAGACACGGCCCAGACUCCUACGGGAGGCAGCAGUAGGGAAUCUUCCGCAAUGGACGAAAGUCUGACGGAGCAACGCCGCGUGAGUGAUGAAGGCUUUCGGGUCGUAAAACUCUGUUGUUAGGGAAGAACAAGUGCUAGUUGAAUAAGCUGGCACCUUGACGGUACCUAACCAGAAAGCCACGGCUAACUACGUGCCAGCAGCCGCCGUAA